UCUUUCUUUCUCCCUCACACUUGCAACCAAAGAGAAAUAUCUCUCUCUCUCUAACAAUUUCUCCACCAAAGAGAGGAAUUGGAGGUGCAUUUGGAGAAGAAAAAGGUUGCUUGGAGGUGAAGUCUUCAUCCUCUUCAUUACUUGGUUUGAGGAAAAGCUUGUGUUUGAGGUGCCUAAACGCGUGUGAAGCGUCGGUUCGUCGAUUCGUCGAGCAGGUGCGACCGAAGAGUAAAGCGGCGACUAGGGAACGUGCAAUUGAGAACCUAGCCUCGUGAUAGCGGUAAAAGGUGGGGGGUGUCAUCCCGAAACAUCCGGGUUUCCUUUUAUGCCUAAGUUAAUUUUAUUCAUCAUAUAUUGAUUGAGCAUUAUAGGAUUAGUAAAGUAUAUUUCCAUUCCUUGCAUGCUUACUUAGUAGUGUAGCGGUAUGGACCUAACACUUGGACUAGGGAGGCAUGAGGAUUGGGUCUUGAGACAAAGAAUCCUAUAGUGGCAAAAGUGAUGAAUUUGGACAUAGCCUAGUAGAGUGGCAUUGAACUAGUGUAGGAGAGACACUAUGACAUGAACAAAUAACAUGUAGAAUAAUUGAGACAUUUACUACAAUGACUAAACGAGUGGCAUUGAGUCUAGUGUAGUAAACUCGACAUGUACUUAGGGAUAGUAGAGAUCCCGGCAUCUAGGAUGCAUUGUACAUUGUGCAGCAGAGGCACGUUGACCCUUGUAGAUAGGGUAUCCUCUUGUGAGGAUUGGAUCAUACUCACUAGUCUGUUUUUGCUUGUCGGUGGUCGCUCCACCGAGGCACGAGUCUCCGGAGUACUUCACUAGGGGCAGACGUAGUUGUCCCGCAGACGGUCUCGGUGUGCGAGUGCAGUUUCUCCUCACCUAUGAGAUUGAGAGUGAGUCGGGGUUGACCCCGGGGUGGCAACCUUCGGGUUGGCCAUGAGAUUGGAUACUACCGAGGCAUAGUUGCACGACGCACUGUGUAGCUCGUUCAUUUGGAUUAUUGAGGCAUAGUAGCAUGUGCAGAUACAUCACUAUGUAGUAGCUCAUUUCCAAGCAGAUUGGGUAAAGAAUAUGAAUGGCAUAGCAGAUUUGCAUUCAUACCUUGAGUUGACAUUGAGACAUAGUAGCAUGUUGUAGAUACAUCACUAUGUAGUAGCUCAUUUCCAUUAUUGUUGAAGCAUAGUAUCAUGAUUAGUAGAAUAUCAUUGCUAUGUUCAUGCAUUACCUCGAGUAGACAUAGUGUAUGUUGUAGAUUGCAUUACUAUGUACUUUUCUAUACUCAUGACAUGAUUCUCGCAUGAUAGUAGUUGUUGCAUGCAUUAUCAUCGUUGAUGGCAUGAUAGAGUAGUCGCAGUUUACUUUUAUCUAUCUAUCUAUCUCUCUAUCUGUGCCAGCUUAGACCUAGUGGGAAAACCGGCGGCGUCGGCGGCCGAACCCACUGGGAACUAUAUUUAUAUAGUUCUCACCCCGUGUGGUUUUGGGGUACAGGUACACAUAGAGGCGAGCCGAGCGAGGACCGCGGCAAGGGCAUAGCGCCCUAAGUGAGCCUAGUUAGUAGCUUUUCCUUAUGCAUUAGAGUACCCUCGUGUACUAGUUGAUAUUUUGGAUAGAUAUCAGAGAGCUACUUGUAUUUUGAAGAAAACAUGUACUUACAUUUUGGAAGAUGAAAAUAUAAUAUAUUCAAAUAAUGUAAAUGUUGAAUGAUUGUGAUAGUUAGACUAUCUCUCUUUAUACACUUGUAUGUCACUUGUGGUUCUUGCUCUUAGAUGUAUUGCACUUGUGUGCAUCGUAUUUGAUCAUGUAUGUUAUUUAAGCAAAUUCCUGGGUGCUUAAUUGUACAUGAUCUGGUUGCUUGGCCUUGGGCGGACAGGAGAGGUACUGUCCGUUCGGCGGUCCGUCCGAUGUGCCCGAACCGUGCCAAAUUGGUAGUGGAUUCGGGGCAGGGCGUGACAUUUUCUCUAAAGCGGGUGCCGAUAGAGAAGCUGGAAUUGACUGUAGGCAAAAGGAUGAAAGCAAAAUAAGUGUUGGGUACAGUAAGAAAAGAAGAUUCUAAAGAAAACAGAGUUAAUUACCGAAGAUGGAGGGAUGUGAGAUACAUGAUCGGAAGUUUCUUCCGAUUCUUCUUUCGAUACAGUGGCGGUAUCAUCCGAGAGACUUUUGCUCGGAAAGGGCACUGUUAUGGGAAGAGAGAUAAAUAAAUAAGCAGGAGUUAUGUAACAGAAAAUUUUCUAUCAGUAAGGAACAUACCAGUUGGGCGAAUAGUUUUGCGAUGUGCCUGUGAGGUAGACAAAUUGAAGGUAGUACUGACAAAACGAUCCUAAUUAACGGUAUAGCGGAAACCUACUACUCCUGUAUAAUUCGGCCUGAAACUUAAUAAUUUGAAAAUUCGCCGAAGACAAUUCCCCAUGGCCGACAUUCGAUCAGCAUCGGCUGUACUUUUGGUGGGGGGACGAUGAACGACAGUAUUGGCUGUAAAGAACUUGGCUGGAGCAGGGGUUGUUUGUGUAAAUCCGAAUUGACGUGCUGCGAACUGGGGGGAGUAAACCUCAGUACUGGGCAGUAGUUUCGAGCGCGAUUUCAAACCAAGGUGCAAAUCCCUUGUAGCCAAAAAAGAGUACCAGACAUCUGAAUGUUCGCCGGCACGGGAAGAAGCUGCUUCGCCUUGAAUAGCUUCAUACCUAGCUAAAAACCAAGAUGGGCCGGUGACACGAUUGGCAAAAGGAGACCAAGAAAUGAGAAAAUGAGGAUCUGAUUCAUAAAAAGCUUUGAAAUAGGUGAUAAAAUCAAGAGGGUGGCCUGAUGUUAACGGCUGAGGACAACCGAGGGCA
rnacentral:lncRNA from 1 species